AAUUUGUGACAUUAAAGGCAUAAGCAUUAUAGUUAGUGAGAUUGUAAGUCUCCCCUCUUUCAUGGUAUUGUGUGGAAACUUGGCCUUUUUUCCUUCCUUUAGAAAAUGUCUUGGUUCAAGGAUCCAUGCUUGUGAUAAGUGGGAUGAGUGUUCUCCAAAGAAUGACUUCAAUUAAAAAGCAAAAGCAAAACAAUACUAACUUCUAACCUAUUAACUACUAA
rnacentral:lncRNA from 1 species